rnacentral:rRNA from 1 species
GAUGAACGCUGGCGGCGUGCCUAAUACAUGCAAGUCGAGCGAACAGACGAGGAGCUUGCUCCUCUGACGUUAGCGGCGGACGGGUGAGUAACACGUGGAUAACCUACCUAUAAGACUGGGAUAACUUCGGGAAACCGGCGCUAAUACCGGAUAAUAUAUUGAACCGCAUGGUUCAAUAGUGAAAGACGGUUUUGCUGUCACUUAUAGAUGGAUCCGCGCCGCAUUAGCUAGUUGGUAAGGUAACGGCUUACCAAGGCAACGAUGCGUAGCCGACCUGAGAGGGGGAUAGCCCACACUGGAGGUGAGACACGGUCCAGACGCCUACGGGAGGCAGCAGUAGGGAAUGGUCCGCAAUGGGCGAGAGCAUGACGGAGCAACGCCGAGUGAGUGAUGAAGGUCUUCGGAUCGUAAAACUCUGUUAUUAGGGAAGAACAAAUGUGUAAGUAACCAUGGACGUCUUGACGGUACCUAAUCAGAAAGCCACGGCUAACUACGUG